rnacentral:snRNA from 1 species
AUCGCUUCUUGGCCUUUUGGCUAAGAUCGAAUGUGGUAUCUGUUCUGGUCAGCUUAAUAUGUCAGUAAUACUAGAGUAUAUUAUUAUAUUGAUCUAAGAAAUGGUGCAUUUACA